ACAAAAAUCAAAGUUUUUGGAAUAAGUUAAGUUGGUUUGCGUAGGGAAGUCCGGUGAAAAUCCGGCGCUGUACCCGCAGCUGUUAAGGGGAACGAAAACCCAACAUGCCACUGCCCUUUUGGGUGGGAAGGCGGGUGAGUAGGAGUUUGCCCCUAAGCCAGAAGACCUUGCAAACCUGAAUAUUCCCC
rnacentral:ncRNA from 2 species